CUCUCUCGGCUUCUCAUCUUCUUUCAUCUCAAUCUCUUUCAGUCGUCCGCGGUGCCAUAAAAUUAAAAGACCUCCGUCUGAUCCGUCUUACUCUGCCAGAUCUAGUUCUGCAGUCUUCCCCAAAACACCGAAGGAAAUCUUUCUGGUGGCGCCUCUAGCAGAUCUGCAGACAUGGUGGACGGGAUCCAAAAUUUCAGGUCUGCUAUCUAUGCAUGCAUUGAUCAUGAUGUGCCUCCGGUGGACCAGAUCGAACAUCUAAGAUACGGUGGACGAGAUCCAAAAUAUAAGAUCUGCAAAUAUGGUGGACAUGAUCCAAAAUCGAAGAUUUUUGUCUACCCAGAUUAUUUUCCUAAGUUUCUUAAGUAGUCAAUAUCCCUUUAACUUUACGUUUUGUUGUCCUUUACAAUCAAUAUAAUCUUGUCCACACUGUAGGUUUAUAGUUUAGGUGGACCAGAUCCAACAGGUAUGUCUUUACGGACAAGUUUAUCUUUGUUUAGUCCACUACAUUUCUGGUCCAUCGUACGCUUACUUUUUGUCUAUCCAUCUAUUUAGUCUAUUAAGUUCCCAAUUUUUGUUUUAUAACUAUAAGUCCAUCAAACUCACAUAUGUUUUGUCCAUCGUUCAGGUUUGAAGACAUUCAACCUGACACUGGUGAACUCGCCGAGGACAACAAUGUUACUGCACAAAGAAGUCCAUCGAACUCACAUGUGUGUUGUCCAUCGCACAUGUUCGAAUCUGUUCAGCCUGACAUUGGUGAACUAGUGGAGGACAACAAACAAGAGAUCCGAAGACAUUCAACGUGACAUUGGUCAACUCUGGAGGUCAACAAUGUUACUGCGCCAGAGAACUCCACCGACUUCAUUUCUUUUUUUUCCUAGAUGUGUGUACGUUUAAUGUUGAACAAUGACAAUUACUCUAAUACAGCUUAAUUAAA